CCCUUAGAUGUUCUGGGCCGCACGCGUGUUACAAUCGGGAGUACAACAAGAUUGCAAAUCCUAGUGGAUGAGUGGUUCUUCGAAAUUUUCUGAAGACUGGGAUAGUUGAUUGAAAUUAUUCAACUCAAACGAGGAAUUCCUUGUAAUUGUAAUUCAUUAUAUUGUAAUGAAUACGUCCCUGCCCUUUGUACACACCGCCCGUCGCUCCUACCGAUUGAACGAUCCGGUGAAUUAUUUGGAGUAGCUCUGGAAGUUGCAGAACUUCCUAUGUCACGAAAUUUUGUAAACCUUAUCGUUUAGAGGAAGGAAAAGUCGUAACA
rnacentral:rRNA from 1 species